rnacentral:rRNA from 1 species
CAUGAGAAUUCUAAGGCGCUUGAGAGAACCCGGGAGAAGGAACUCGGCAAAUUAGCACCGUAACUUCGGGAGAAGGUGCGCCCCGGUAGUGUGUAGAGAUUUACUCUCGAAGCAUGAUGGGGUUGCAGUGAAAAGGUGGCUGCGACUGUUUAAUAAAAACACAGCACUCUGCAAACACGAAAGUGGACGUAUAGGGUGUGACGCCUGCCCGGUGCUGGAAGAUUAAAUGAUGGGGUGCAAGCUCUUGAUUGAAGUCCCAGUAAACGGCGGCCGUAACUAUAACGGUCCUAAGGUAGCGAAAUUCCUUGUCGGGUAAGUUCCGACCCGCACGAAUGGCGUAACGAUGGCCACACUGUCUCCUCUCGGGACUCAGCGAAGUUGAAAUGUUUGUGAAGAUGCAAUCUCCCCGCGGCUAGACGGAAAGACCCCAUGAACCUUUACUGCAGCUUUACAUUGGACUUUGACAAGAUUUGUGUAGGAUAGGUGGGAGACUAUGAAGCGGUGUCGCUAGAUAUCGUGGAGUCAUCCUUGAAAUACCACCCUGAUGUUGUUGAGGUUCUAACCUAGGUCCGUAAUCCGGACUGGGGACCGUGUAUGGUAGGCAGUUUGACUGGGGCGGCCUCCUCCCAAAGAGUAACGGAGGAGUGCGAAGGUAACCUAGGUACGGUCGGAAAUCGUACUGAUAGUGCAAUGGCAAAAGGUUGCUUGACUGCGAGACGGACAGGUCGAGCAGGUGCGAAAGCAGGUCAUAGUGAUCCGGUGGUUCUGUAUGGAAGGGCCAUCGCUCAACGGAUAAAAGGUACUCUGGGGAUAACAGGCUGAUUCCUCCCAAGAGUUCAUAUCGGCGGGGGAGUUUGGCACCUCGAUGUCGGCUCAUCACAUCCUGGGGCUGUAGCCGGUCCCAAGGGUAUGGCUGUUCGCCAUUUAAAGUGGUACGUGAGCUGGGUUUAAAACGUCGUGAGACAGUUUGGUCCCUAUCUGCCGUGGGCGCUGCAAGUUUGAGGGGACCUGCUCCUAGUACGAGAGGACCGGAGUGGACGCACCUCUGGUGGACCAGUUAUCAUGCCAAUGGUAUAGCUGGGUAGCUAAGUGCGGAAGAGAUAAACGCUGAAAGCAUCUAAGCGUGAAACUCGCCUCGAGAUGAGACAUGCCUCUGGCUUUAAGCCAGCUAAAGAGUCGUUCAAGACCAGGACGUUGAUAGGUCAGGUGUGGAAGUGCAGUAAUGCAUUAAGCUAACUGAUACUAAUUGCUCGUGAGGCUUGAUCC